rnacentral:rRNA from 1 species
AGUGAACGCUGGCGGUAGGCCUAACACAUGCAAGUCGAACGGCAGCACAGUAAGAGCUUGCUCUUACGGGUGGCGAGUGGCGGACGGGUGAGGAAUACAUCGGAAUCUACUUUUUCGUGGGGGAUAACGUAGGGAAACUUACGCUAAUACCGCAUACGACCUACGGGUGAAAGCAGGGGAUCUUCGGACCUUGCGCGAUUGAAUGAGCCGAUGUCGGAUUAGCUAGUUGGCGGGGUAAAGGCCCACCAAGGCGACGAUCCGUAGCUGGUCUGAGAGGAUGAGCAGCCACACUGGAACUGAGACACGGUCCAGACUCCUACGGGAGGCAGCAGUGGGGAAUAUUGGACAAUGGGCGCAAGCCUGAUCCAGCCAUACCGCGGGGGUGAAGAAGGCCUUCGGGUUGUAAAGCCCUUUUGUUGGGAAAGAAAAGCAGCAGGUUAAUACCCCGCUGUUCUGACGGUACCCAAAGAAUAAGCACCGGCUAACUUCGU